AUGACCCACGAGAAAGGGAAAGGGGAAAACACCAAUCCUGCGCUGGGCUUUUUCGACUUUUCCUUUAAAAAGAAAAAAGUUUUUCAAGCUGCGCGGGCUUCCUGUGCGCGGCUGAGCCGGGGCGCAGCGCGACGGUCCCAUCGGGCGGCCUCCACCCUCGGGACGCGAGCGGAGCGCCGAGCCCAGCGGCGAUCACGCGACGCGGGGAAGGAAGGAAGAUCUCUCCUUUCAAAGAUAACUAGCCAAAUGAACAUAAUAAACAAGUCCAAGCAGUUGGAGGGGCGGCCGCCACCCCACCGUCUCCAAAUAACUGAUUCGCAUUUCCGAGACGGUUCACCUGAAGCCUUGCCUGCCACCUUGGUUCUCCCACCUGAAGGAGAUGGUUCUAAUGGUGGUGCAAACCAGGAAGGGGAAAUCUGUGGUUUACGUUCUCUGUGCCUCAUCCCUCUCGGAGAGCUGGAGGCUUGCUGGAGGCUAUAUGCUGUUAAUGCUAAUUGUGAUAGGGGUUUUUACCUCCGUCUGACUCCUACAUGUUAG
rnacentral:lncRNA from 1 species